rnacentral:lncRNA from 1 species
AGAUCUUGAAUUUUUUUUUCAUUGUUGUUGUGCUUAUACUUGAAUGACAUUUCCAAUUAUGAAGUGUUGACUUGCCAAUUUCACCAGUUCUUGUGCUAUGCAAGAGAAUUUUACCUAGAGCUGUGUAAAAUAGAUCUUAACAAGCAAUGUGGAGAAGCAUCAGUUUUAUGCUCAGUUUGUACUCUGUGCUAUUUCAUAUUCCAAGAAAAUUUACCUGCUCUAAUUUGAGUUUCUUAUCAAAAAUAAUUUUCUACUCUCGUCAAUCCUUUCCUUGAGGCUGGAGCAAGAAAAUAUAGAAGUUUAUCUUUCCCAAUUA